ACGAACGCUGGCGGCGCGCCUAAUACAUGCAAGUCGAACGAGAAGCUGUAGCAAUACAGUUGUACAGUGGCGAACGGGUGAGGAAUACAUGGGUGACCUACCCUCGAGUGGGGAAUAACCAGCCGAAAGGUUGGCUAAUACCGCGUACGCUUCCCAGUCUACGGGUUGGGAAGGAAAGCGAUGCCGNGGGUAUCGCGCUCAAGGUUGGGCUCAUGUCCUAUCAGCUUGUUGGGGGGUAACGGCUCACCAAGGCAACGACGGGUAGCUGGUCUGAGAGGACGAUCAGCCACACUGGCACUGCGACACGGGCCAGACUCCUAC
rnacentral:rRNA from 1 species